AAGGUUGCAUGCCACCAACAUCCGCUGGCUUUGAAUCCAACACAGCACCAGGACUUGCCCAGGAAUUGCAGUCCCUGUUGCCUUUCAAGUUUAUUUAGGACUUCAGAGUACUUUAACCCACAAUGGGAGAAUGAUUGGUGAAGGCUUCUAUUUGGUCAACUUGCUCUGUCUUUAUAGCCAAUUUAUAUUGAUAAGAGUUUCUCUCUAGAUACCAUUUGCGGUAUUCCUGAGUCAGAAGAGAGGAAAGGUGAUACUGCCACCCCCUGUAUGUAUUUCCUUUUAGAUGUGGGAUGUGGUAGGCAGCAUGUUCCCUCCCCAGACUUCUCUCCGAGAGCUGUCUAUGCCCUAAUCCCUGCAACCUGUGAAUAUGUUAUGUUAGUUGGCAAAGGGGACUUUGCAGAUGUAAUUAAAGUUACUGACCAUAUAAUGAGGAGAUUAUUCUGGAUUAUCCAAGUAGGCCCAAUCUAAUUACAUAAAGCCUUCAAAGCAGAGAGCUUUCUCCAACUGGAGGCAGAAGAGAUGCAGCAGCAGCAGCAGCAGCGAGAACAAUUCAAAGUACAGGGACUCAAUGGGAACUUUCUGGUUUGAUGUUGGAGGGAGCAGCAUGAUGAGGAAUUUGCACAGCCUUAAGAGGCUGAGGGAGGCUCCUGGCUAACAGCUAGCCAGGAAAUAUGAUCCUUAGCCUUGCAGUCAUGAAAACUGAAUUCUUCCAACAACUUGAAUGAGUUAUCCCUCAGAGCCUUCAGAUAAGAGUCCAGUUUGCCAGCAAUUUGAUUUCAGUCUGUGAAACCUGGACCAGAGGAACCAGCUGAAUUCACCAGACUUCUGACCCACAGAACUAUGAGAUAAUACAUUGAAUACAUUGAAGUUGUUUAAAGGAGCUCAAUUUGCAGUAAUUUGUUAUGGCAACAAUAGAAAACUGACAUAUGGAGGUAUUGAUAUAGUCAUGAUUUUGAUGACUAACUAGUUUGUGAUCUGGAUAUGAAGUGUCACCAUGCUACAGUGCCUGAGUCUGCUUCAGAUUCUUCUACUUCUUGGCCAUCUUUAUUGGGAAAAUAAGUAUGUGAAAUAAGUAUAGUCUAUUGCCCUUUUUGAGUACCACUGGUUAAUUAAUUUUGUUAUUUUCAAGUGUAUGUGCUUUAAUUCACAUGGCAUUAAAAGAAUCGGUAGUAUAGUUUCACUCAGCCAGAUGAAUCCAGAAAUCUCUUGCUCAUUGAAUCUUCAGAAAUGAGAGUGAGAGCAUUCCAUGAAUCUAGAAUCAAAACACAUUAGUACAAAUAAAGAUCACUAAAAAUAAA
ensembl:lncRNA novel transcript